AGAGUUUGAUCAUGGCUCAGAUUGAACGCUGGCGGAAUGCUUUACACAUGCAAGUCGAACGGCAGCACGGACUUCGGUCUGGUGGCGAGUGGCGAACGGGUGAGUAAUACAUCGGAACGUGCCCAGUCGUGGGGGAUAACGUAGCGAAAGUUACGCUAAUACCGCAUACGAUCUACGGAUGAAAGCGGGGGACCGUAAGGCCUCGCGCGAUUGGAGCGGCCGAUGUUAGAUUAGGUAGUUGGUGGGGUAAAGGCUCACCAAGCCGACGAUCUAUAGCUGGUCUGAGAGGAUGAUCAGCCACACUGGGACUGAGACACGGCCCAGACUCCUACGGGAGGCAGCAGUGGGGAAUUUUGGACAAUGGGCGCAAGCCUGAUCCAGCCAUUCCGCGUGCAGGACGAAGGCCUUCGGGUUGUAAACUGCUUUUGUACAGAACGAAAAGCCUUGGGUUAAUACCCUGGGGUCAUGACGGUACUGUAAGAAUAAGCACCGGCUAACUACGUGCCAGCAGCCGCGGUAAU
rnacentral:rRNA from 1 species